rnacentral:rRNA from 1 species
GAUUACCUACGGGGCGCAGCAGUGGGGAAUAUUGCGCAAUGGGCGAAAGCCUGACGCAGCGACGCCGCGUGAGGGAUGAAGGUCUUCGGAUCGUAAACCUCUGUCAGCAGGGAAGAACGGUCACUGUGCUAAUCAGCAGUGAAUUGACGGUACCUGCAAAGGAAGCACCGGCUAACUCCGUGCCAGCAGCCGCGGUAAUACGGAGGGUGCGAGCGUUAAUCGGAAUUACUGGGCGUAAAGCGCUCGUAGGCGGUAUGUCAAGUCAAAGGUGACAUCCCCGCGCCCAACGGGGGAACUGCCUUUGA